AAAUUGAAGAGUUUGAUCAUGGCUCAGAUUGAACGCUGGCGGCAGGCCUAACACAUGCAAGUCGAGCGGCAGCGGAAAGUAGCUUGCUACUUUGCCGGCGAGCGGCGGACGGGUGAGUAAUGUCUGGGAAACUGCCUGAUGGAGGGGGAUAACUACUGGAAACGGUAGCUAAUACCGCAUAA
rnacentral:rRNA from 1 species